rnacentral:rRNA from 1 species
AGUGAACGCUGGCGGUAGGCCUAACACAUGCAAGUCGAACGGCAGCACAGUAAGAGCUUGCUCUUACGGGUGGCGAGUGGCGGACGGGUGAGGAAUACAUCGGAAUCUACUUUUUCGUGGGGGAUAACGUAGGGAAACUUACGCUACUACCGCAUAUGACCUACGGGUGAAAGCAGGGGAUCUUCGGACCUUGCGCGAUUGAAUGAGCCGAUGUCGGAUUAGCUAGUUGGCGGGGUAAAGGCCCACCAAGGCGACGAUCCGUAGCUGGUCUGAGAGGAUGAUCAGCCACACUGGAACUGAGACACGGUCCAGACUCCUACGGGAGGCAGCAGUGGGGAAUAUUGGACAAUGGGCGCAAGCCUGAUCCAGCCAUACCGCGUGGGUGAAGAAGGCCUUCGGGUUGUAAAGCCCUUUUGUUGGGAAAGAAAAGCAGCAGGUUAAUACCCCGCUGUUCUGACGGUACCCAAAGAAUAAGCACCGGCUAACUUCGUG